rnacentral:snRNA from 1 species
GUGCUCGCUCAGAUAGCACAUAUACUAAAAUUGGAACAAUACAGAGAAGAUUAGUAUGGCCCCUGCACAAGGAUAGCAUGCAAAAAUUCAUGAAGCAUUCCAUGUUAAU